GAUGAACGCUGGCGGCGUGCCUAAUACAUGCAAGUCGAGCGAACAGACGAGGAGCUUGCUCCUCUGACGUUAGCGGCGGACGGGGGAGUAACACGUGGAUAACCUACCUAUAAGACUGGGAUAACUUCGGGAAACCGGAGCUAAUACCGGAUAAUAUAUUGAACCGCAUGGUUCAAUAGUGAAAGACGGUUUUGCUGUCACUUAUAGAUGGAUCCGCGCCGCAUUAGCUAGUUGGUAAGGUAACGGCUUACCAAGGCAACGAUGCGUAGCCGACCUGAGAGGGUGAUCGGCCACACUGGAACUGAGACACGGUCCAGACUCCUACGGGAGGCAGCAGUAGGGAAUCUUCCGCAAUGGGCGAAAGCCUGACGGAGCAACGCCGCGUGAGUGAUGAAGGUCUUCGGAUCGUAAAACUCUGUUAUUGGGGAAGAACAAAUGUGUAAGUAACUAUGCACGUCUUGACGGUACCUAAUCAGAAAGCCACGGCUAACUACGUG
rnacentral:rRNA from 1 species